CAGGGUGGAAGAUGGCCUUCCUGAAUAAAAUACAACAUAUCAGAAGUACCACUCAUCAGACUAGCGUCCUCUUCCUCUCAUAGAAGAAGUUAGCUUGAUGUUGUAAGAGCAAUCCAUCACUGUCCCAGGACCGUGAGGGCAGACUCUGGGGGAGGCUGAAUAGGCCUGGUGACUGGUCCCUUAAGGGAAGCUGGCAGUCCUCCAGCCGUGGUGAGCCAGGCCAGACUGCUUAUGUCGAAGCAGCCUUUGUGCUGCCAGCUGCCAGGUGGCCUUUUGCUCACAGCUCACCACAUUCAGCAGGUGCACGGGAAGCCAUUGUCUUACAUCAGCCCUUCAGUGAGAUUGCCCAGGUGCCGAGGGAUGCAUGCUAAGACUCACACGGAGACAGACAAGUCAGUGGAGGCCACAUGUGAUUCCUUAGAACACAAGUGAGUGGAAGAAGAGGGGGCUCAACAGGAUUUUGAGGAUCCCGAUGUUAGGAGACUCCACAGAGGCACAAAGUAUGAGUGUGUGUGAAUCUGUGUGCCCACAUGUUUGUGAGCACAUGCAUGUAGCCAUGAAUGCAUGUGUCUGUGUACUUGUAUGUACCCAUGUGUCUGUAUGGCUGUAUGGGCAUAUGUGUGCAUGUGCACAUGUAUACCUGCGUGCAUGUGUUCUUGUGAGGCAGGAAGGACUGGAAAACUGGGUCCUGACCUUGUCACAGUGUGAGGGGACACUGUGUGAGUUGACAGAGUGAGUCACAGGGACAGGAAGGUUUUUGUUGCCCACCACAGGGGGCUCUCAGCACUGUUUCUUCCCAGGGUCCCCUUGUGAGGACUCAGCGGGCACCAAUCCCUCGACCUGGACUAGGACAAUGUACUCAGAGAGCCCACUCAGUUCUGUCAUCUGGGGAUUUGCUAUACUUUAAAGAAAUUCUCAGGGUUCUAGUUUCAUUCUGUUGCUAUGACAAAGCACUGACCCUAAAUGACUUGGAUAGGAAGGGGUUAUUUCAUCUUCUCUCUAGCUUACAGUCCAUCCCUGAGGGAAACUGUGGCCAUUAGAGGAACACUGCUUGCUGGCUCCUCUCUCUGGCUCACUCCCAAGCUCAUCUUUGGUAUCUUUUCUUAUUCAGCACAGGGCCUGCAUAGGGUAGUACUGUCCACAGUGGGAUGGGCUGUUCUGUAUCUGUGUGUAAUCAAGACAGACCUUCACAGACAUUCCCACAGGCCAGUCUGAUGGAGGCAAUCCCCAACUGAAGCGCUCCUGUCAGAUGAGCACCGGCUCUGUGUUAGCAAUUACAGCUAACAGAGAAACCCAGGCAGGUAAUAAGCUACAGGACCUUGCACAGUGCUAGGCUCUUGUGUUUACACUUCUGGUAUUUGAUCCUGCAGCCCUGUCCAGAAGCAUUCCUAAUAGGCUUUGGGGAACUGAAGAGUAUAUACCCCUAGACCAGUAGUUGACAUAAUUGUGGAGCAAUCGAGACGGAAUGUGGGAGGUGGGUCAUGAGGAAGAAUGGCUUAGGUACUCAGAGCAACAGAGGCCUAAGGAUCUCAGUCCUGGGAUGUCAUCUCAUCCCACUUGUGCCAAACCUAUGCUGUCAGAGCAAGACUCAUGCUUCAGAGAGUGGUCCAGGGCCCAGAGAAGGGAAAGCUGAGUGCAUUGUGGCAUCUGUAAUGAGGCCAUAGGGCAGAAGGGGACUUGAUGAAGUCAUUACAAAACAAGGCUUGCCUUUUAAGCCUCUGAGACUACUUCUUAAGCUACUUCUUAAGUACUUCUUGUACUGGCGUGACUUUGGGAUUUCCAUUUUAUAAUUGUUGCAAAACUUCAUUCAGCAUCCAACGUGAAGUGAGGAUCAACUCUCUUAUCUAUGAACUUCUCUGUUUCAUUCAUUCUCGGAAUGUCUUUACUGUCCGUCAGACAAACUCUUUCUGUGAUAGGUUGAGUUCCCAAGGAGCUGAAGGUUGAGGGCACCAGGUUGCAGGUUCCAGUGUGUUUGAGGUUGGUGUUUCUUGGGCUACUUUUGGCUGAAGUCUUCGGGGUUAUCAACACACGGUGGAGAAGGCUAGAUGUAUAGAGCCAGCUUGCUUGGUCAGGGACAUUCUAGAACAGAUGUUCAAAAAUCAUAGGUAAGCAGGACAUGCCUUACCCAAGGCUUGUGCUUGGGAUAGCCUAUGCCUCAGCUGUGUGCCCUCAGGGUCAGAAGACCCUUCCAUUAAGCAGAGAGCCUGACGUGGCUGUCUUAGAAAGGUGUGAGGUCCCUCAGGGUGCCUUUGAGGUGUGCAGUUUCUCAGGGCCUCAGUGGCAUCCCACCUAAUACUUGGGUCCAUUUUUGAAAGUCACAUUUAGCCCCAAGAUCACUGUAACCAGUGUGACAGAGGAGGGAGACUCAUGGGCAUGAAUGACUUGAGAGAGAUGGUAAAGUCUAUCAGGUAGUCUCAGGGCCUCCAGAAGGCAGAGGAACUCUACGGGGAGGGCCCUGUCAACGGACUGUGUCACGUGGUUUUGGUAUGAGAUUUCAGGUGCUUCCAAACUGUGAGGUGUGUGUGUGUGUGUGUGUGUGUGUGUGUGUGUGUGUGUGUGUGUGUGUGUGUAAAAUCUUGGUUUUGUUGCCAGGCAGACACAGCACAACCACUCUAGGAAGCCCAAAGAAUAAAUAUCCGGACACUCAGUAACUCUAUGUUGGCUUUCAUGCUCACCAGCAUCUUAUUCCUAUAAUUAAAAGUCUUGCAAGAUACUGCAGAUGUGUGGGCCAGGAACCUCCAGGUCAUGUGUGAUCAAGGACAUAGUGCUGCUGCCUGCUCCCCUCAUUAGCCAUGCAGAGGGGGGUGGGGCAUUGAUCAGAGCUGCUAAGGUAUCCUAGCACAAGCAAGGAGAGUGCAUCUCAGGUUUGCAGGGCUUCAGCUGCGUUACCUGCCUCUCUGCAGAGGAGACUUAGCCUGGUUUAUCAGUCAAGGCCAUGAGUGAUCAGACAGAGUGAAAGUGAAUUCUGCUUUGUCUUUUAGAGGAGCAGCCUGUGUUCAGAUGGGAGCCUACAUCAAUUUGGCGGCUGUAGAGACAGAUACCAGACAGCCAAGGCAGAGGGAACUGGCAUGAGGUGAAUGAAGAUACUGUCCAGUCUCUGUAAGCCCCCUUCCUCCAGGCA
rnacentral:lncRNA from 1 species